ACACAUGCAAGUCGAACGGCAGCACGGGGGCAACCCUGGUGGCGAGUGGCGACCGGGUGAGUAAAGCAUCGGAACGUGUCCAAUAGUGGGGGAUAACCUCUCGAAAGAGAGGCUAAUACCGCAUACGACCUGAGGGUGAAAGCGGGGGACCUGCAAGGGCCUCGCGCUAUUAGAUGAGCCCAUGUCGGAUUAGCUAGUUGGUAGGGUAACGGCCUACCAAGGCGACGAUCCGUAGCUGGUCUGAGAGGACGGCCAGCCACACUGGGACUGAGACACGGCCCAGACUCCUACGGGAGGCAGCAGUGGGGAAUUUUGGACAAUGGGCGAAAGCCUGAUCCAGCGACGCCGCGUGUGUGAAGAAGGCCUGCGGGUUGUAAAGCACUUUCGUUGGGAACGAAAUAUGCCGACCUAAUACGUCGGAGCUGCGUCCCAAA
rnacentral:rRNA from 1 species